UGCAGUCGAACGAUGAUCCCAGCUUGCUGGGGGAUUAGUGGCGAACGGGUGAGUAACACGUGAGUAACCUGCCCUUGACUCUGGGAUAAGCCUGGGAAACUGGGUCUAAUACCGGAUAUGACCAUCUGGCGCAUGUCAUGGUGGUGGAAAGCUUUUGCGGUUUUGGAUGGACUCGCGGCCUAUCAGCUUGUUGGUGGGGUAAUGGCCUACCAAGGCGACGACGGGUAGCCGGCCUGAGAGGGUGACCGGCCACACUGGGACUGAGACACGGCCCAGACUCCUACGGGAGGCAGCAGUGGGGAAUAUUGCACAAUGGGCGAAAGCCUGAUGCAGCGACGCCGCGUGAGGGAUGACGGCCUUCGGGUUGUAAACCUCUUUCAGUAGGGAAGAAGCGAAAGUGACGGUACCUGCAGAAGAAGCGCCGGCUAACUACGUGCCAGCAGCCGCGGUAAUACGUAGGGCGCAAGCGUUAUCCGGAAUUAUUGGGCGUAAAGAGCUCGUAGGCGGUUUGUCGCGUCUGCUGUGAAAGACCGGGGCUCAACUCCGGUUCUGCAGUGGGUACGGGCAGACUAGAGUGCAGUAGGGGAGACUGGAAUUCCUGGUGUAGCGGUGAAAUGCGCAGAUAUCAGGAGGAACACCGAUGGCGAAGGCAGGUCUCUGGGCUGUAACUGACGCUGAGGAGCGAAAGCAUGGGGAGCGAACAGGAUUAGAUACCCUGGUAGUCCAUGCCGUAAACGUUGGGCACUAGGUGUGGGGGACAUUCCACGUUUUCCGCGCCGUAGCUAACGCAUUAAGUGCCCCGCCUGGGGAGUACGGCCGCAAGGCUAAAACUCAAAGGAAUUGACGGGGGCCCGCACAAGCGGCGGAGCAUGCGGAUUAAUUCGAUGCAACGCGAAGAACCUUACCAAGGCUUGACAUGAACCGGUAAUACCUGGAAACAGGUGCCCCGCUUGCGGUCGGUUUACAGGUGGUGCAUGGUUGUCGUCAGCUCGUGCCGUGAGAUGUUGGGUUAAGUCCCGCAACGAGCGCAACCCUCGUUCUAUGUUGCCAGCCCGUUAUGGCGGGGACUCAUAGGAGACUGCCGGGGUCACUCGGAGGAAGUGGGGACG
rnacentral:rRNA from 1 species